GGGAUGCUUUGUGCUUGUUUACAGAGGGGGACAGAGUGUGUUGGGUUUCAUUUAUAUAAUGUUCCCAGUGUGACCAUGUUUGUUUCCAAAAUUUUGCAGGAUACAUCACUGUACAUGCUGUUAUGUCAUAAGUUUGUAUGGAUGACACCUGCGGCAGAGGUUUUUAACCAAUUUCUGCUAAUAAUCAUGAGGGCUGCUAAUAAAACAGUUUUCGCGCCCUUUUGCUAAUGGCCACAGAAGGAGGAGCAGGCAAGUCUCCAGGGUAUUUGGUAAGUUGAUAUUUGUACAAUCCCGAAUCAGUUUGUUUAUAUCUGCCCAGUAAGUAGAAAGUUUGGGGCAGGACCAUCAAACAUAGAGCAUGGAGCCCAUGCCUGACUGGCACCUUCAACACUUGUCAGGGCUUUGGGGGUCACAAUGUUUCAAUCUGGUGGGUACCAUAUACCAGCGGUAGAGGAUUUUCCUUGAUAACUCCACAUGAGAGUUGCAAAGGGUUAGGUGUUUAUACGCAUGGUAUAGAUAUUUCUUUUGGGGGUGUGUGAAUUUGAAGUUCAAAUCCUUUUCCCAUUUAGUUAAGAAGGGAGGGUGGUGUCAGUUAAUGCUUUGUAGGCUUCUAAGUAGAGCAUGG